rnacentral:rRNA from 1 species
CCUACGGGUGGCAGCAGUGGGGGAUAUUGCACAAUGGGCGAAAGCCUGAUGCAGCGACGCCGCGUGAGGGAAGACGGUCUUCGGAUUGUAAACCUCUGUCUUUGGGGAAGAAGAUGACGGUAACCAAAGAGGAAGCUCCGGCUAACUACGUGCCAGCAGCCGCGGGAAUACGUAGUGAGCGAGGGUUGUCCGGAAAUACUGGGUGGAAAGGGAGCGUAGGCGGGGAUGCAAGUAGGAUGUUUACACUAUGGGCCCAACCGGUAAUGGCAAGCAAAACUGCAAAUCUUGAGUGAAUGAGAGGCAGGCGGAAUGCCGAGUGUAGCGGUGAAAUGCGUAGAUAUUAGGAGGAACACCAGUGGCGAAGGCGGCUUGCUGGGCUUUAACUGACGCUGAGGCUCGAAAGCGUGGGGAGCAAACAGGAUUAGAUACCCCGGUAGUC